AAAAAUUAGGGACAGCCUGCAAGCGCACUGUGAAGCCGUGUUCGGACCCCGAAACGAGUAAGGACCCCUCACCCUAUUUCCUAUCACGGUUUUAAAGUUCAAUAAAUGAUAAAACGGUAUUUCAUGAAUCAACGAAUGUGUAAAAUUGCUUAAGGUCGCUAAUGGAGCCCGAGUCUAGUGUGUUUGUCGGUUAACUGUUAUUUGGCCUGUUUUACAGUUUUAAAUGCAGCAUGAGGUUCGAUGUUUUCAUUUUAUAGUUUCGUGUGCAUAUUUU
rnacentral:lncRNA from 1 species